CCCGUCGGGCCGCCGCCGCCGGAUCCAUCUCUGCCUCUCCUUCUCCCUCCUCCCUCUCUUCUCUCUUUUGUGCGUGCCUCCAUCCCGAGGGAUAGGGCGCCACCUCGGGUCCCGGCCGACGCCGCCGGGCAGGAGGGCGUCGGUGCAGCCCCCGGUUCUUGCCGCAGCCGCCGCGGAGGAGGGCGCGGGUGCAGCCUCCCGUCAGCUCGUCGCCGGAUCCGGCGACCAAAUCGCCGCUGCACACCGCAGGUACGUUCUCCCUGCUCUCUGCUCUCCCUUUCCCCUCUGUUCUCUCCCUCCCUCACUCUCUCUCUCUCACACACAUAUGGUGGCCACCAACCGCCGGUGGAGAGGAGGAGCUUGUCGUCGGUGAACUCGCGGGUGGAGAGGAGGAGCUCGUCGUCGGUAAACUCACGGGUUAAGUCGCCGAGGGCGCCGCCGCCGAGGAGACAAAGCCCGCGGGUUCCCGCUGCCGCUAUGGAGAUGAGCCGCCAAAGCCACGGGUUCUAGUGAUUUGCUGAUUUAGAUUGUAUUGUGAUUUGUUGUUUUAGAUUGUACUGUGAUUGUACGCAGCCGGAUUUGUUGUUUCAUUAGAUUAAUUUGUUUGAUUUGUGAUUAUUGAAUAGAAGAUGCAGGCUUGUGGCCUGCUUUUUUUUUAUUU